CGGUUUCGGACCAUACUGUCUCAAAAGCUUUGAUGGUCGCAGCCGCCUCCGGUUCUCCCGGUGCGCACUUGAGGGCUCGCAGGUGUUUCCUCCCUCGCCUGCAUGCUGCGUACCCGCCUCGCCCCGCUCCCCGCUACCUUGGUGAGCGGGGCUUUUU
rnacentral:sRNA from 2 species